AAUUUAUUAGUUUAAAUAAAACAUUACUUUUUCAAUGUAAAAAUAAAUCCCAAUUUUUGAUUUAUAAAUUA
rnacentral:tRNA from 1 species